GAUGAGCCUGCGUGACAUUAGAUUGAUGGUGGGGUAAUGGCUUACCAUAUGUCUACGAUGUCUAGCUGGUCUGAGAGGAUGAUCAGCCACACUGGGACUGGAACACGGCCCAGACUCCUACGGGAGGCAGCAGUGAGGAAUUUUGCGCAAUGGGGGCAACCCUGACGCAGCAACGCCGCGUGAGUGAUGAAGGCCUUUUGGUUGUAAAGCUCUGUCGCCUGGAAAGAAACCUAUGGAUAGGAAAUGAUUCAUAGCUGACGGUACCAGGAAAGGAAGGACCGGCUAACUCCGUGCCAGCAGCCGCGGUAAUACGGGGGGUCCAAGCGUUAUUCGGAAUCAUUGGGCGUAAAGCGCAUGUAGGCGGUUGGGUAUGUCGGAUGUGAAAGCCCGGGGCUUAACCCCGGAAGUGCAUUUGAAACUGCCUGGCUUGAGUCUCGGAGAGGAAAGUGGAAUUCCCAGUGUAGAGGUGGAAUUCGUAGAUAUUGGGAGGAACACCGGAGGCGAAAGCGACUUUCUGGACGAUGACUGACGCUCAGAUGCGAAAGCGUGGGUAGCAAACAGGAUUAGAUACCCUGGUAGUCCACGCCGUAAACGAUGAGUACUAGGUGUCGGGGGUAUUGACCCCCUCGGUGCCGAAGCUAACGCAUUAAGUACUCCGCCUGGGGACUACGGCCGCAAGGCUAAAACUCAAAGGAAUUGACG
rnacentral:rRNA from 1 species